rnacentral:rRNA from 1 species
CCUACGGGAGGCAGCAGUGAGGAAUAUUGGUCAAUGGACGCAAGUCUGAACCAGCCAUGCCGCGUGCAGGAAGACGGCUCUAUGAGUUGUAAACUGCUUUUGUACGAGGGUAAAUCCCGAUACGUGUAUCGUGUUGAAAGUAUCGUACGAAUAAGGAUCGGCUAACUCCGUGCCAGCAGCCGCGGUAAUACGGAGGAUUCAAGCGUUAUCCGGAUUUAUUGGGUUGAAAGGGUGCGUGGGCGGUUCGAUAAGUUAGAGGUGAAAUCCCGGGGCUCAACUCCGGCACUGCCUCUGAUACUGUCGGGCUAGAGUUUAGUUGCGGUAGGCGGAAUGUAUGGUGUAGCGGUGAAAUGCAUAGAGAUCAUACAGAACACCGAUUGCGAAGGCAGCUUACCAAACUACGACUGACGUUGAGGCACGAAAGCGUGGGGAGCAAACAGGAUUAGAUACCCCAGUAGUC